rnacentral:tRNA from 1 species
GAGAGGUGGCUGAGCGGUCGAAAGCACUGGUCUUGAAAACCAGCGACGUUAGCGCGUCCCAGGGUUCGAAUCCCUGCCUCUCC